rnacentral:rRNA from 1 species
UACGUAGGGUGCAAGCGUUGCCCGGAUUUAUUGGGCGUAAAGGGCGCGCAGGCGGCCGAGCACGUCCGUUGUGAAAUCGCCUGGCUCAACUGGGCGGGGUCAGCGGAUACGGCUAGGCUGGAGCAAGCUAGGGGGCAAUGGAAUUCCCGGUGUAGUGGUGGAAUGCGUAGAUAUUGGGAAGAACACCGGUGGCGAAGGCGGCUCUCUGGACCGAGACUGACGCUGAGGCGCGAAAGCGUGGGGAGCAAACAGG